rnacentral:rRNA from 1 species
UACGAAGGGGGCUAGCGUUGUUCGGAUUUACUGGGCGUAAAGCGCGUGUAGGCGGGUCGUUAAGUUGGGGGUGAAAUCCCGAGGCUCAACCUCGGAACUGCCCUCAAAACUGGCGACCUGGACUCAAGUAGAGGCAAGUGGAAUUGCGAGUGUAGAGGUGAAAUUCGUAGAUAUUCGCAGGAACACCAGUGGCGAAGGUGACUUGCUGGACUUGUAGUGACGCUGAGACGCGAAAGCGUGGGGAGCAAACAGG